GGGUUGUGAGGUUAAGCGACUAAGCGUACACGGUGGAUGCCCUGGCAGUCAGAGGCGAUGAAGGACGUGCUAAUCUGCGAUAAGCGCCGGUAAGGUGAUAUGAACCGUUAUAACCGGCGAUUUCCGAAUGGGGAAACCCAGUGUGAUUCGUCACACUAUCAUUAACUGAAUCCAUAGGUUAAUGAGGCGAACCGGGGGAACUGAAACAUCUAAGUACCCCGAGGAAAAGAAAUCAACCGAGAUUCCCCCAGUAGCGGCGAGCGAACGGGGAGGAGCCCAGAGCCUGAAUCAGCAUGUGUGUUAGUGGAAGCGUCUGGAAAGGCGCGCGAUACAGGGUGACAGCCCCGUACACAAAAGCGCAUGUGCUGUGAGCUCGAUGAGUAGGGCGGGACACGUGGUAUCCUGUCUGAAUAUGGGGGGACCAUCCUCCAAGGCUAAAUACUCCUGACUGACCGAUAGUGAACCAGUACCGUGAGGGAAAGGCGAAAAGAACCCCGGCGAGGGGAGUGAAAAAGAACCUGAAACCGUGUACGUACAAGCAGUGGGAGCACAGGUUUACCUGUGUGACUGCGUACCUUUUGUAUAAUGGGUCAGCGACUUAUAUUCUGUAGCAAGGUUAACCGUAUAGGGGAGCCGUAGGGAAACCGAGUCUUAACCGGGCGUUAAGUUGCAGGGUAUAGACCCGAAACCCGGUGAUCUAGCCAUGGGCAGGUUGAAGGUUGGGUAACACUAACUGGAGGACCGAACCGACUAAUGUUGAAAAAUUAGCGGAUGACCUGUGGCUGGGGGUGAAAGGCCAAUCAAACCGGGAGAUAGCUGGUUCUCCCCGAAAGCUAUUUAGGUAGCGCCUCGUGAAUUCAUCUCCGGGGGUAGAGCACUGUUUCGGCUAGGGGGCCAUCCCGGCUUACCAACCCGAUGCAAACUGCGAAUACCGGAGAAUGUUAUCACGGGAGACACACGGCGGGUGCUAACGUCCGUCGUGAAGAGGGAAACAACCCAGACCGCCAGCUAAGGUCCCAAAGUCAUGGUUAAGUGGGAAACGAUGUGGGAAGGCCCAGACAGCCAGGAUGUUGGCUUAGAAGCAGCCAUCAUUUAAAGAAAGCGUAAUAGCUCACUGGUCGAGUCGGCCUGCGCGGAAGAUGUAACGGGGCUAAACCAUGCACCGAAGCUGCGGCAGCGACACUGUGUGUUGUUGGGUAGGGGAGCGUUCUGUAAGCCUGUGAAGGUGGCCUGUGAGGGUUGCUGGAGGUAUCAGAAGUGCGAAUGCUGACAUAAGUAACGAUAAAGCGGGUGAAAAGCCCGCUCGCCGGAAGACCAAGGGUUCCUGUCCAACGUUAAUCGGGGCAGGGUGAGUCGACCCCUAAGGCGAGGCCGAAAGGCGUAGUCGAUGGGAAACGGGUUAAUAUUCCCGUACUUGGUGUUACUGCGAAGGGGGGACGGAGAAGGCUAUGUUGGCCGGGCGACGGUUGUCCCGGUUUAAGCGUGUAGG
rnacentral:rRNA from 1 species